rnacentral:tRNA from 1 species
GGAGAGGUGCCGGAGUGGUCGAACGGGCACGGUUGGAAACCGUGUGUGCCCUUAGUGGCACCCAGGGUUCGAAUCCCUGUCUCUCCGCCA